GCGCCCGUAGCUCAACUGGAUAGAGCAUCAGUUUCCUAAACUGAGGGUUGAGUGUUCAAGUCACUCCGGGCGCA
rnacentral:tRNA from 1 species